GACGAACGCUGGCGGCGGGCUUAACACAUGCAAGUCGAACGGAAAGGCCCUGCUGUUGUGGGGUGCUCGAGUGGCGAACGGGUGAGUAACACGUGAGUAACCUGCCCUUGACUUUGGGAUAACUUCAGGAAACUGGGGCUAAUACCGGAUAGGAGCUCCUGCUGCAUGGUGGGGGUUGGAAAGUUUCGGCGGUUGGGGAUGGACUCGCGGCUUAUCAGCUUGUUGGUGGGGUAGUGGCUUACCAAGGCUUUGACGGGUAGCCGGCCUGAGAGGGUGACCGGCCACAUUGGGACUGAGAUACGGCCCAGACUCCUACGGGAGGCAGCAGUGGGGAAUAUUGCACAAUGGGCGGAAGCCUGAUGCAGCAACGCCGCGUGCGGUAUGACGGCCUUCGGGUUGUAAACCGCUUUCGCCUGUGACGAAGCGUGAGUGACGGUAAUGGGUAAAGAAGCACCGGCUAACUACGUG
rnacentral:rRNA from 1 species